AGCGUAGACGGAGUGGCAAGUCUGAUGUGAAAACCCGGGGCUCAACCCCGGGACUGCAUUGGAAACUGUCAAUCUAGAGUACCGGAGGGGUAAGUGGAAUUCCUAGUGUAGCGGUGAAAUGCGUAGGUAUUAGGAGGAACACCAGUGGCGAAGGCGGCUUACUGGACGGUAACUGACGUUGAGGCUCGAAAGCGUGGGGAGCAAACA
rnacentral:rRNA from 1 species